rnacentral:misc_RNA from 1 species
GAUGAAGAACGUAGCGAAAUGCGAUAAGUAAUGUGAAUUGCAGAAUUCAGUGAAUCAUCGAAUCUUUGAACGCACAUUGCGCCCGCCAGUAUUCUGGCGGGCAUGCCUGUUCGAGCGUCAUUACAACCCUCAGGCCCCCGGGCCUGGCGUUGGGGAUCGGCGGAAGCCCCCUGCGGGCACAACGCCGUCCCCCAAAUACAGUGGCGGUACCGCCGCAGCUUCCAUUGCGUAGUAGCUAACACCUCGCAACUGGAGAGCGGCGCGGCCACGCCGUAAAACACCCAACUUCUGAAUGUUGACCUCGAAUCAGGUAGGAAUACCCGCUGAACUUAAGCAUAUCAAUAAGCGGAGGA